UCGGAUAAAAGUUAGACUUGAAUGGAUAUUUUGGGAUAUUAGAAGCGGAACGUGACUGCAUUAAGCUUACAACAACAACAACAAAAAACCCAGUAUAUUCCCACAUUGUGGGGUCUGGAGAGGGUAGAGUGUACGCAAUCCAUACCACUACCUCUAAAAAAGUAAAUAGGUUAUUUCCGAUAGACCCCCGACUCAAGACAAAGGACAGUAUAUAUAGGGGAAAAAUGCAUGGAACAUGAUAAAAUAACAUAAGUAUGACAUCCACCAAAAAUAUUGAACACUUCUAAACAAG
rnacentral:lncRNA from 1 species